UGGUCCCGGCCUUAUAAUCAAUUUUUACUUAACUUACACAUGCAAGUCUCCGCACCCCUGUGAGAACGCCCUUAAGUCCCUCCAGGGAUCAGGAGCUGGUAUCAGGCGCGAUCUUCAGCCCAUGACACCUAGCCACGCCACACCCACAAGGGUAUACAGCAGUGAUUAACAUUGACCAUGAGCGCAAGCUUGACUCAGUCAGAGUAAACAGGGCCGGCAAAUCUGGUGCCAGCCGCCGCGGCCACACCACAGGCUCAAAUUGAUUACAUUCGGCGUAAAGCGUGAUUAAAGCCACCUCAAACUGCAGUCAAACUGGAUCUAAGACGUAAAAUCCUUGAACCCAUGAAGCACAAAAACGAAAGUCACUGCAAAACAACCCACUUGACCUCACGACAGUUAGGGUGCAAACUGGGAUUAGAUACCCCACUAUGCCUAACCGUAAACUUUAACUUACACCCAAAUCGCCUGGGGACUACGAGCAAUGCUUAAAACCCAAAGGACUUGACGG
rnacentral:rRNA from 1 species